GACGAAGGGGGCAAGCGUUGUUCGGAAUUACUGGGCGUAAAGGGCGCGUAGGCGGUUCUUUAAGUCAGGCGUGAAAGCCCUGGGCUCAACCUGGGAGUGGCGCUUGAUACUGGAGGACUAGAGAGUGGGAGAGGUUGGUGGAAUUCCCAGUGUAGAGGUGAAAUUCGUAGAUAUUGGGAAGAACACCGGUGGCGAAGGCGGCCAACUGGACCGAUUUCUGACGCUGAGGCGCGAAAGCGUGGGGAGCAAACAGG
rnacentral:rRNA from 1 species